rnacentral:rRNA from 1 species
CUGGCUCAGGAUGAACGCUGGCGGCGUGCCUAAUACAUGCAAGUCGAACGAAACUUCUUUAUCACCGAGUGCUUGCACUCACCGAUAAAGAGUUGAGUGGCGAACGGGUGAGUAACACGUGGGCAACCUGCCCAAAAGAGGGGGAUAACACUUGGAAACAGGUGCUAAUACCGCAUAACCAUAGUUACCGCAUGGUAACUAUGUAAAAGGUGGCUAUGCUACCGCUUUUGGAUGGGCCCGCGGCGCAUUAGCUAGUUGGUGGGGUAAAGGCUUACCAAGGCAAUGAUGCGUAGCCGAACUGAGAGGUUGAUCGGCCACAUUGGGACUGAGACACGGCCCAAACUCCUACGGGAGGCAGCAGUAGGGAAUCUUCCACAAUGGGCGAAAGCCUGAUGGAGCAACGCCGCGUGGGUGAAGAAGGUCUUCGGAUCGUAAAACCCUGUUGUUAGAGAAGAAAGUGCGUGAGAGUAACUGUUCACGUUUCGACGGUAUCUAACCAGAAAGCCACGGCUAACUACGUGCCAGCAGCCGCGGUAAUACGUAGGUGGCAAGCGUUAUCCGGAUUUAUUGGGCGUAAAGGGAACGCAGGCGGUCUUUUAAGUCUGAUGUGAAAGCCUUCGGCUUAACCGGAGUAGUGCAUUGGAAACUGGGAGACUUGAGUGCAGAAGAGGAGAGUGGAACUCCAUGUGUAGCGGUGAAAUGCGUAGAUAUAUGGAAGAACACCAGUGGCGAAAGCGGCUCUCUGGUCUGUAACUGACGCUGAGGUUCGAAAGCGUGGGUAGCAAACAGGAUUAGAUACCCUGGUAGUCCACGCCGUAAACGAUGAAUGCUAAGUGUUGGAGGGUUUCCGCCCUUCAGCGCUGCAGCUAACGCAAUAAGCAUUCCGCCUGGGGAGUACGACCGCAAGGUUGAAACUCAAAGGAAUUGACGGGGGCCCGCACAAGCGGUGGAGCAUGUGGUUUAAUUCGAAGCAACGCGAAGAACCUUACCAGGUCUUGACAUCUUUUGACAAUCCUAGAGAUAGGACUUUCCCUUCGGGGACAAAAUGACAGGUGGUGCAUGGUUGUCGUCAGCUCGUGUCGUGAGAUGUUGGGUUAAGUCCCGCAACGAGCGCAACCCUUAUUGUUAGUUGCCAGCAUUAAGUUGGGCACUCUAGCAAGACUGCCGGUGACAAACCGGAGGAAGGUGGGGAUGACGUCAAAUCAUCAUGCCCCUUAUGAUCUGGGCUACACACGUGCUACAAUGGACGGUACAACGAGUCGCAAGACCGCGAGGUUUAGCAAAUCUCUUAAAGCCGUUCUCAGUUCGGAUUGUAGGCUGCAACUCGCCUACAUGAAGUCGGAAUCGCUAGUAAUCGCGGAUCAGCAUGCCGCGGUGAAUACGUUCCCGGGCCUUGUACACACCGCCCGUCACACCAUGAGAGUUUGUAACACCCAAAGCCGGUGGGGUAACCUUUUGGAGCCAGCCGUCUAAGGUGGGAUAGAUGAUUAGGGUGAAGUCGUAACAAGGUAGCCGU